rnacentral:tRNA from 1 species
GAGGGCAUAGCUCAGUGGUGAAGCACCAGCCUAGCAUGCACGAGGUCCUGGGUUCAAUCCCCAGCACCUCCA